AUGAGGAAACAGAAGAGAGGGAAAAGAGGAAUGUAGGAAGGAAACACGGAGGGCCAAAGAGUAGGGGAGGGCGAAGAAGGAAAUAAGGAGGAAAAAACACGAGGUGAAAGGUGGGAAGUGAAAAAGAAAUGAGAAUCAGAGGAGGUUCAAUAAGGAUACAAGGAAGUGAGGAAGAAACCUUAAAAGAGGCUAUGAGGGAGAAGCAAAGAGACAAUGAAAGAGGAAAAGAAGAGAACACAGGGAAAGGGAGGAGGGAAUGAGGGACAAGGAAAAACACAAAAAAGGAGAGUAAAAAGGACAGAAAAGAAGGUGUGUUGUAAGAGGAGACAUGAUUAAAGACAUUAGUAAGCUGAUUCCUACCAGUAAGGAACAAAAGGUGCUGGACUCCUGCCUGGUCACCCCAUCGCUCAUCAUCCUCUAGAGGGUGGCAGGUGUUCAGGACUAUAGUGAAGGCCUAAGGCCCUUGCUGAGUUGCUGGUUGUCAAACUGAAGAUCUACAGAUGCUUCCCCUCUGACAAAACUGCAGGAAGAGAAAACCACAAACAAGCAGCAACUGAAGACAGCUGCAGUAAAGGCCUGGCAGAACAUCUCAAGGGAGGAAAUGCAACAUUUGGUGUUAUUCAUGGAUUCUA